AACGCAUAUUGCACCCCUUGGUAUUCCGAGGGGUAUGCCUGUUCGAGCGUCAUUAUGACCACUCCAGCCUGGCUGGGUAUUAGGCCUCGCUGAUAGGCGGGCCUUAAAAUCAGUAGCAGUGCUCUCAGGCUCUACGCGUAGUACCUUUUCUCGCUACGGAGCUCUGGGGAAUACUAGCUAAUCAAAUGUUAAUUUCUCAAGGUUGACCUCGGAUCAGGUAGGGAUACCCGCUGAACUUAA
rnacentral:misc_RNA from 1 species